rnacentral:rRNA from 1 species
GAGUCUGAUCCUGGCUCAGGAUGAACGCUAGCUACAGGCUUAACACAUGCAAGUCGAGGGGCAGCAUUUGUAGUUUUGCUUGCAAACUGAAGAUGGCGACCGAGCGCACGGGUGAGUGACACGUAUCCAACCUGCCGAUAACUCCGGAAUAGCCUUUCGAAAGAAAGAUUAAUACCGGAUAGCACUACGAAUAUGCGCAUGAUAUUUUGUAUUAAAGAAUUUCGGUUAUCGAUGGGGUAUGCGUUCCAUUAGUUUGUUGGCGGGGUCAACGGCCCACCAAGAACUACGAUGGAUAGGGGUUCUGAGAGUGAAGGUCCCCCACAUUGGAACUGAGAUCACGGUCUCAAACUGCGGUACGGGAGGCAGCAGUAGAGGGAUAUUAGGUCGAAUGGGCGAGAGCGCUGAACACAGCCGCAAGUGAGCGUAGAAGGAUGAUAGGCUAUUGAUGGAGCUCUGUAGAUACUAUGCUAUGUGUCAUAAUGGAGAAUCAAUAGUUGUUCCCCACACGUGCUGGCAGAUAUUUGUAAUGUACCCUACUAAUAAAGGAUAAGCUAACUCCGUGCCAGCAGCCGCGGUAAUACGGAGGAUCCGAGCGUUAUCCGGAUUUAUUGGGCUUUAAAGGGCAGCGUAGGCUGGAUUGUUAAGUCAGUGUGUGAAAUGUUUGCGGCUCAACCGUAAGAAUUGCAGUUGAUAACUGGCAGAUCUUGAGUACAGGUAGAGGUGGGCGGAAUUCGUGGUGUAGCAGUGAAAUGCUUAGAUAUCAGCGAAGAACUCCGAUGUGCGAAGGCAGCUCACUGAGACUGUCACUGACACUGAUGCUCGAAAGUGUGGGUAUCAAACAGGAUUAGAUACCCUGGUAGUCCACGACAGUAAACGAUGACAUACUCGCUGUUUGCGCAUCAUACAGUAAGCGGCCAAGCGAAAGCAUUAAGUAUUCCACCUGGGGAGUACGCCGGCAACGGUGAAACUCAAAGGAAUUGACGGGGGCCCGCACAGAGCGGAGGAACAUGUGGUUUAAUUCGAUGAUACGCGAGGAACCUUACCCGGGCUUAAAUUGCAACAGAAUAUAUGUGGAAACAGUAUAGCCGUAAGGCUGUUGUGAAGGUGCUGCAUGGUUGUCGUCAGCUCGUGCCGUGAGGUGUCGGCUUAAGUGCCAUAACGAGCGCAACCCUUAUCUUUAGUUACUAACAGGUUAUGCUGAGGACUCUAGAGAGACUGCCGUCGUAAGAUGUGAGGAAGGUGGGGAUGACGUCAAAUCAGCACGGCCCUUACGUCCGGGGCUACACACGUGUUACAAUGGGGGGUACAGAAGGCGGCUACCUGGUGACAGGAUGCUAAUCCCAAAAACCUCUCUCAGUGUCGGAUCGAAGUCUGCGAACCCGACUUCGUGAAGCUGGAUUCGCUAGUAAUCGCGCAUCAGCCAUGGCGCGGUGAAUACGUACCCGGGCCUUGUACACACCGCCCGUCGAGCCAUGAAAGCCGGGGGUACCUGUAAGUACGUAACCGCAAAGAGCGUCCUAAGGUAAAACUGGUAAUGCGGGCUACGUCGUA